GAGGGAACAAAGAGGGGGUGCUGAUGUACCAUGAUGGGAGGCAGAGAGGACAGACCCAUGGGAGGAGUAGCUGGUUGGUACCACUGUGUUGGUGUGAGGGUAGAAUGACAUAUCUGGCCCCACUCCGUGCCAUAAGGAGUUCAGGGGUUACUUUAUUGCUGUAGAUAAUUCAGUCACUCGGGGGUUAGUGAGCCCAGGGGGACCCAGUCCGACACUGCUCCUGGUUUUCCUCUCAUCAGUGUUAUUAUCUGUAUGUGCUACUGAUAUUACCCCCCACUGGGCUAACACUAAUGGGAAACUCUGGGCUACUUAAAGCCGCCCUGGGCUAAUGUGUUGCCCCAGUUCCAGGCUAUGUAGAUAUCCUCAGGAGAUACACAAACCACUCACACACUGCAUAAAAGGAACAAAACUCUUUAAAGGGCCAGUUGCCUAUUAGUGUGUGAGAGAAUGCCCUAUUCUUUGCACCUUUCCAGUUGGUCUUCAUUUUUCAAUAGUAUAUUCAUUAUUUGUGUUCCUCUUCUGCCUCUUUCCAGCCUUCAGAUCUGGGUCCCUGUGCUACCUGGGGUCACUCGUAACAUCGGGGCGCCCUACGUAAUAUCACUGAGAGCAGCAAAGUGUAACGCUGAGUGGCUAAUGUCAGAGACUCGUGAGUGUGGGACCAGCCUACCAGGUCAUUUAAGAGCAGCCCUGGUUGGGCAGAACAAAGAUAAACCCUGAAUGGAGGAGCUACGGUUCUGCCUCGCGCCGGUGCUGUAACCCAUAUCAACCAAUAAACAACAAACGUUCAUUGAUCCAUGGCAGCUGGAAGAGUAAAAGCAAAAGGCUGAUUGGUUUAUAAUAAUAAUGGUUUCAUAUUGAGCAGCUCCCCUUGUCAUGAGCAAAGGGGGGAGUGGGUUAGACUAAUUGUAUAACUUCAAAGGGGGUUGCCAAAAUGCCUGAAGCCCUCUGCCCUAUGUGCAUUUAUUGCCAGUGUUAGGCGGAACAUCACCCUCUCCUGGUGCAGUUUUGGCAAUUCACCCCCACCCCAGGCCCCUGAUUCACUCCUUCAGUGCUGGGUUCCUAGAUUCCAUUCCUGAUAAGGGCACUAUUGGCAAGGAAUGGGUAUGUUGUACCCAAUAUAUAUAGAUAGUGAGUAUAACCCUCUAUAUGAUACACUGUCAUUAGUAACCCAUAACUUACUUACCCAUAGGUAAAUUAACAGCUCCCUAAUAGGGGGCAGACUGGUGCCUCACUAUACAAACCCCACAAUAAAUGACUGUAUAUGUAUGCAGAUGGGUAUAUAUGGGGUGCAGUGUUACCCAGGCAGUAGUAUGGAAUAUGUUAAAUACCUGCAAUAAAUGUGCUGACACUGACAAUAAUACAUAGAAAUUGCUGCUACUGUUUCUGACCAGGUGACUGCAAAGAGUCAAGAAAAUAAGGAAAGAGGAGCCAGAGGCGGCCGCCAUAUUGGAGCCCUUGCAUUCAUAUCCUGAUCUGUGGGCCAGGAGUAGGGAUUUAUCAAGCGGCCAGACAAAGGCGGCACACAGACCUGUGCUGGGCUAAGUACCACUGACUUCCCUGUGAUAAACCAGUUAUUAUGGGCCCUAUUACUGUUACUGAUUCGUCGCUGAGGUGCCCAGCCACGAUCUAUAUUUUCUUACAGAUAAUGGGCCUGAUUCACUAAAGUUUAUCGCGAGCUUU